rnacentral:rRNA from 1 species
CGUUUCGAAAAUGAAUCAAAACUUUCAACAACGGAUCUCUUGGUUCUGGCAUCGAUGAAGAACGCAGCGAAAUGCGAUAAGUAAUGUGAAUUGCAGAAUUCAGUGAAUCAUCGAAUCUUUGAACGCACAUUGCGCCCGCCAGUAUUCUGGCGGGCAUGC